rnacentral:tRNA from 1 species
AGGGAUAUAGCUCAGUUGGUAGAGUGUUUGUCUGCCACACAUAGGGCCCUGAGUUCAAUCCACAGCACCCCCC